CAGGUACCCUGUCAGACAGUUUCCAUCUUCUCAUAAUCUUCACAAGAAUCCUACAGAAACAAGAUGUACACCCUCAUUUACUGAUGAUGAUCCUUCAGCCCAGAGAUGGUACCACAGGUCUAGAGAACAGAAGUUAAGGGCAGACAUUGUGGAACUGGCUUUGGGCCGUGAAGAUGUAGAUCCCAUGAUGGAUAAUGGGUAACAAGUCCACGGGCCGACAGGCAAUAAGAAUUGGA